AGCAGUCGCCGCGGUAAAACCAGCAGCCCAAGUGGUGGUCGCGCUUAUUGGGCCUAAAGCGCUCGUAGCCUGGCCGGUAAGUUCCCCGUGAAAUCGGGUCGCCCAACGAUUCGGCUCGCGGGGAAUACUGUCGGUCUUGGGGCCGGGAGACGCCGAGGGUACUCCGGGGGUAGCGGUGAAAUGCUGUAAUCCUCGGGGGACUACCAGUGGCGAAGGCGCUCGGCGAUAACGGGCCUGACGGUGAGGGGCGAAAGCUGGGGGCGCGAACGGGAUUAGAUACCCCCGUAGUCCCUGUCUCUUAUA
rnacentral:rRNA from 1 species